AACGUAGGGGGCCAGCGUUGCUCGGAAUUACUGGGCGUAAAGGGCGCGUAGGCGGCGUGGUAAGUCACUUGUGAAAUCUCUGAGCUUAACUCAGAACGGUCAAGUGAUACUGCUGUGCUAGAGUGCAGAAGGGGCAAUCGGAAUUCUUGGUGUAGCGGUGAAAUGCGUAGAUAUCAAGAGGAACACCUGAGGUGAAGACGGGUUGCUGGGCUGACACUGACGCUGAGGCGCGAAAGCCAGGGGAGCAAACGGG
rnacentral:rRNA from 1 species